UAUAUUGGUGUAGAGCGCAUGAAAAGGUUUGAUCUUUUAGGGGAUGGUGAAAACUCCGUCAUAUAUAA
rnacentral:tRNA from 1 species